UACGAAGGGGCUAGCGUUGUUCGGAAUUACUGGGCGUAAAGCGCGCGCAGGCGGCUAUCCAAGUCAGUGGUGAAAGCCCGGAGCUCAACUCCGGAACUGCCAUUGAUACUGGGGAUAUCGAGUCCGGGAGAGGUGAGUGGAACUGCGAGUGUAGAGGUGAAAUUCGUAGAUAUUCGCAAGAACACCAGUGGCGAAGGCGGCUCACUGGCCCGGUACUGACGCUGAGGUGCGAAAGCGUGGGGAGCAAACAGG
rnacentral:rRNA from 1 species